UGGGGAAUUUUGCGCAAUGGGGGAAACCCUGACGCAGCAACGCCGCGUGCGGGACGAAGGCCUUCGGGUUGUAAACCGCUUUCAGCAGGGAAGAACAACGACGGUACCUGCAGAAGAAGCCCCGGCUAACUACGUGCCAGCAGCCGCGGUAAUACGUAGGGGGCGAGCGUUAUCCGGAUUCAUUGGGCGUAAAGCGCGCGUAGGCGGCCCGCUAAGCGGGACCUCUAACCUCGGGGCUCAACCCCGAGCCGGGUCCCGAACUGGCUGGCUCGAGUGCGGUAGAGGCAGGUGGAAUUCCCGGUGUAGCGGUGGAAUGCGCAGAUAUCGGGAAGAACACCGAUGGCGAAGGCAGCCUGCUGGGCCGGCACUGACGCUGAGGCGCGAAAGCUAGGGGAGCGAACAGG
rnacentral:rRNA from 1 species